GGGAGAGGAAGACGGAACCGCCGUCCGUCCGUGUGUCCCGAGGCCCACCCUGAGCUGGGCAGCGCUCUGGGCUUAGCUGAGACCCGGGACUCACGGCGCCCCCAGCCCUUGGUCUGCAGCGGCCAGGCCGAGGCUCUGCCGCUCCCACCACGUUGGCGGGUGAGAUGCAGCCAGCGGAGCAGCCCUGGGCUCGCCGUCCGUGCGGACAGACGGUCAGACACAGAAGCGCGGCCUCAGCAUCCGCUCCCACACCGGGCCCUCCUCCGUGGGUGGAAUAGUGACGUCUUACGGAAACCGCGUCACCCUAAAUGCAGGCCGUAUUGGCGUUUUUCUUCUGGGUCCCCUUCCCCUCCUUCCUGAAGGCGCCGGAGGAGUCAACGCUCUGGUGUCCCUCAGACCUCAGCGGAUCCCCGACGUGACCUGGGGGUGCGGUGGGGAGGACCCGUCUCACCCGGAGGGGGCUCCGGGGAGGCCCGCGGGCAGGGUCCUGGUCCUCAAGCAUUCAGGAAACGCGCUCCUGCGUCCCUCCGGCCGCUGACGUCGCAUCGGCAGCGUGCCUCAUGCGUGUUCGGUCUGGACACGUACGAACGGAAAGGUCAAGUCCAGCUGCUCAGAGCUGCGGCGAAGGGUCCCUCGGGCUCCAGGGGGAACCGUGGUCCGGUCACUGUCCAUGCCUCUGCCGUCUAGAACCCUGACUCGGGAAGCCCAGAGAGCCGAUGAAGUGGGGGACCUGGUGUUUCCGAGAAGCCCCCCCCCCCCGCCCCACCCCACAGUGUCUGGGAAGAAAGACCGAGCGGGUCCACGAACUUGUCUUCGGUCUGGCCGAGCCCUCCCGGGGCUCACACACGCUGCCCUGUGAGGCACCAGCGACUCCAGUGACAAUGACGAUGCAGCGCCCACGGUUCCCCAGCCCUGGAACGUGGACUCAGAGGAAGGGCUUCUGUGAGAAGAGUGGGAAGAACUUGGAACGUCACGUCACGGUAGAUCUCACCGCUCUUAGGAUACUCUUCAGCCGCCGGAUCCCUGGGGAUGGUUUUGUGAUGGGCCACCCCAGUAAGCUCCGGGGGUCCCCCACAGUAUUGAGGGUUCCUCUCCACUGUGUCUUCUCCCAUCCGCCCGCCCUCCAUCUUGGGAGCAGUACAUCCUUCCUUGGCCUCGUGCAGAAGAGCUCCCACCCCUGUCACCCCAACACGCGUGCAAGCCCCCAAGACGCGAAGCCAGCUAACGACCUGGAUCUCAAAGUCCCUGCUUCCAAGGCUCCCGAGGCUGCUUCUUGCCAGCAAAGGCGGUUCCGGCCCUUAGAAGAAUUCUGAUGUUUAAAAAAAUAACAAUUUCUGGCUGGCGUAGCUCAGUGGAUUGAGCUCGGGCUGCGAACCAAAGUGUCGCAGGUUCGAUUCCCAGUCAGAGCACAUGCCUGGGUUGCAGGC